AAACCAACAGGGAUUACCUUAGUAACGGCGAGUGAAGCGGUAAAAGCUCAAAUUUGAAAUCUUCGGAAUUGUAAUUUGAAGGCCCAAUCAUUAAUUACUAAAAGUUCAUUGGAAAAUGACGCCAUAGAGGGUGAUAGCCCCGUAACAGUAUUUUUUUAUAUGAUGGCGCCAAAGAGUCGAGUUGUUUGGGAAUGCAGCUCUAAGUGGGUGGUAAAUUCCAUCUAAAGCUAAAUAUUGGCGAGAGACCGAUAGCGAACAAGUACAGUGAUGGAAAGAUGAAAAGCACUUUGAAAAGAGAGUGAAAAAGUACGUGAAAUUGUUGAAAGGGAAGGGCUUGCAAGCAGACACAACUUCGGUUGGGCCAGUAUCGAUAAGGGAGGGGCUAAAAAUCAGUUAGAAUGUAGGACCUUCGUGUCUGUUAUAUCUUUCUGUCCACCCCCAYCCCUUUUCGAGGAUCGCAUCAAGGAUACUGGCGUAAUGGUUGCAAGUCGCCCGUCUUGA
rnacentral:rRNA from 2 species